rnacentral:rRNA from 1 species
UACGUAGAUGGCAAGCGUUAUCCGGAAUUAUUGGGCGUAAAGAGGGAGCAGGCGGUUUGAUAAGUCUUUGGUUUAAUCUUGUGGCUUAACCACAAUUCGCUAAAGAAACUGUCUUACUAGAGUCAAGGAGAGGUUAGUGGAACUCCAAGUGUAGCGGUGGAAUGCGUAGAUAUUUGGAAGAACACCAGUGGCGAAGGCGGCUAACUGGCCUUGUACUGACGCUCAGUCCCGAAAGCGUGGGGAGC